rnacentral:rRNA from 1 species
GAUGAACGCUGGCGGCGUGCCUAAUACAUGCAAGUCGAGCGAACAGACGAGGAGCUUGCUCCUCUGACGUUAGCGGCGGACGGGUGAGUAACACGUGGAUAACCUACCUAUAAGCCUGGGAUAACUUCGGGAAACCGGAGCUAAUACCGGAUAAUAUCUUGAACCGCAUGGUUCAAUAGUGAAAGACGGUUUUGCUUUAACUUAUAGAUGGAUCCGCGCGUCAUUAGCUAGUUGGUAAGGUAACGGCUUACCAAGGCAACGAUGCGUAGCCGACCUGAGAGGGUAAUCGGCCACACGGGAACUGAGACACGGUCCAGACUCCUACGGGAGGCAGCAGUAGGGAAUCUUCCGCAAUGGGCGAAAGCCUGACGGGGCAACGCCGCGGGAGUGAUGAAGGUCUUCGGAUCGUAAAACUCUGUUAUUAGGGAAGAACAAAUGUGUAAGUAACUAUGCACGUCUUGACGGUACCUAAUCAGAAAGCCGCGGCUAACUACGUG